GUAGGUGGCAAGCGUUGUCCGGAAUUAUUGGGCGUAAAGCGCGCGCAGGCGGUCCUUUAAGUCUGAUGUGAAAGCCCACGGGCUCAACCGUGGAGGGUCAUUGGAAACUGGGGGACUUGAGUACAGAAGAGGAAAGCGGAAUUCCAAGCGUAGCGGUGAAAUGCGUAGAGAUUUGGAGGAACACCAGUGGCGAAGGCGGCUUUCUGGUCUGUAACUGACGCUGAGGCGCGAAAGCGUGGGGAGCAAACAGGAUUAGAUACCCUGGUAGUCCACGCCGUAAACGAUGAGUGCUAAGUGUUGGGGGGUUUCCGCCCCUUAGUGCUGCAGCUAACGCAUUAAGCACUCCGCCUGGGGAGUACGGCCGCAAAGGCUGA
rnacentral:rRNA from 1 species